GCCAGGAUCCAUAUCAACCUGUAAUUCGCAACUGGCAAACCACUGAAGCUAAGCAGGUCUGAGCCUGACCAGUACCUGCAUGGGAGACCUCCUGGAAAAACUAAGAUUGCUGCUGGAA
rnacentral:rRNA from 1 species